AGAGAGAGAGAGAGAGAGAGAAUAUUAGCUCUAUCAUUCGAUGCCUUUAUCGUGCAUCAUUGUCGAAGCUACUUGAAGCCAGGAUGGUGAAAGUGCAUUUGCGUUUUUGUUAUCGUCCUCGUCCGAUAGUAUCUCGUGUACUUUGAAACGAGGGGGAAAACUUCGCCUUUACGUUUACGAGCCGAACAGAAAAUAGAGUUCACGUGAUGGGGCGGGUAAUUGAUACAGAAUCGAUCGGCGAACGAUGACGAGGAGAGGGUUUUAUUGUGGCAGAGAAUGGAACCUCGAUGUGUUUACCGAUGGUUGAGAAGAAGUGUCGUGUCGAGUUCCUCGUUAACGGGCUUCGAGCGGAUUAGACGUUCCGUCUUCGUGGCUCCUACACGUCUCGUACACCUGAUACUGUAAUUAACAACAUCUAAUCAUUGGAUGAUACGCGAUAAGAAUUCGAGAAACAAACGAUAUUUCUAGUAUUUUUUUAUUUCUAGUAUUUUAAAUAGAAGAGAAUUGAAAGAAAGAUAGAAUAACGAGAUUAAUAAUUUUCGAUUGAGGAAGAAGGGAAAAGAGAGUUCGAGAAAAAAUAAGAUUAUAAGAGAAAAAGAUAUUUGGAGAGAAAGUACCAGAAAAAGUGGAAGGAUGGACAGAAGGUAUAUUGAAACUUAUGAUAAAGUAGAGACCUUGAAUGAUGAAGAAUACACAACCUUGUGAUACGUUUGUGAUAAUUGACUUUCUCAUGGUUUCUACGUCGAUUAUUCAGUUUUUUAUACCCAUAGGAAAUAAACUUUUUUCAUUCUCUUUUUCGAUAACCUUUUUUUUUUCUUUUUUUUUUUGCAUUUCCAUCGACGAAUAGAAUAGAUGUACGUGAUAAAUGUUCCCCAUUGACGUCAAUCACGAUACCUGUGAUUCUCCAAAUUUGCUUUAUCAUCAAAUCAAAACAUAUCAGCUUGAAUGCAAUGUAUAUAAAUCUAUCGACAUGGUUGAUUCGUGAGAUUUUUUUUAGUCUCAAGAAGGGAAUACAGGAAACUAAAAGUUCUAUGGUUUAAUGCAUCCAAUCGCAUAAUAAUACAUGAUGUAUUCGAAAUAGUAAGAUACGUAAAGUUGGGAGUAUUGUUUGCUUGAAAAUCGAGAUUUCCAUGAUUGAACCGAAUUAUAAUAUAUAUUUUUAUCUUGAAGUUCUGUUCAAACAAAGAAUCUGUUCAAACAAUUGAAAAUUUUAUGUAACGAUUGAAAUUUUAUUUAGAAAUGUUAUUUUUAAUUUAAAAAAAAAUCUUUUAUGAUAUUUCAAAUUUUUCCAAUUUUCGAACUAUCAUAUAAUUGAUAAUUUCAAAAAUUUCACGUUCACAUUUAAACGAGAAAUUUCAGUGACCGUAUAAAUGUAAUAUCCAAAUCAACAGCUAUCAUCUAUGUACAUCCAUCCGAAAUGUCCACUCUCUUCUACAUUUUCCCUCUUGAAAUUAAAUCUUGAUCCCAAUAACUCUGGACAAUUAAUUCUAUUUCUGUCGAGCAAGUCGAGGAAUUCUCCUGGCGCUCGAACCAAAUCCAGUGAAAACGCGUUUCGAGUGACCUCAACCAUCAGAUUGCUCGAUUAGCACGUCACUUCCUAAUCUUCAUAAUCAAAUUAUUAAGGGGACGCAUUACAAUUUGAAUUAGAUACAGUCGGAUCUGGUGGGUGGAUCGAGCUUACGGCUUCUCCAAGGUCACGGAAACGGAACGAGAAAUUACGAUUAUCCCUCAAAUUCUGAUCGACGCCCACAUUAACGAAUAUUAGAUAACGAUUACGCUUAAUAAAAUUUUUUUAGAAAUUGGCUGUUUAAAUUGUUCUUUGUAUCGGUUGAAUUAAAGUUUUUUCUCCUAAGAGUUUCAUUUAUAUAUCAAUAAACAAGAAAAAAGUAAACGAGUAAUCAUGAUACAGGAUUGAAAUUCUUCGAGUGAUCGAAUUUUUCUCAUUCAAUUAGUUUUAAAAACAAAAUAUAUAUAACAGUGUCACGAACGAAGCUCUAAAAGUUUCUAUGUAAAAAUUCGUUAUACGUAUUUUAUAUCUCAAAAUAGAUAAAUGUAUAUAUUUUACAAAUUUUUUAAAAAAAGAAUCAAUAUACGAACGAUGAAAGCAUUAAAUAUAAACAAUAUUGUGUCUAGAACGUUAUACUUAUAAAAUAUGUUGUUUAAUCAAGAGAAGUGUUAAUUUUGGUGUAUUUAGAUACAGUUUCAAAAGGGUCUCCCUUGUGACCUGUUAAAGUAUUAUUUUUCCUUUUGUCGUGACAAUUAAUCUUUCCAAGGUCUCGCGUGUCCCAGAACUGAGAAUAUGAUAUCGCCAUUUUGAUAGGAUUUUACGCGUCGAACAUUGUUUGACACGGUAAAUAUUAAACGAGUCGACGGAUUUCUCUAUUACCAGAGGCAAAAUUUAUUCAAAAGCAUGACAUUUACAUUUUUACAAACGAAAUAUCAUCUUGUAUUGUUAUAAGUUAAUGGAAUUUAAUUUCUCGUCAUCUUUCAUAAUAAGAAAAGGUAUAUUGAUAAUGAAAUUUUUUCAGAAGUAGUAUUAUAUUUAUUAUUUUUUUGUUAUUUCACGAAAAGAAAUAUUACGUGAUUAAUAUCUAAAGAAAUUUAAAAAUAUCUUAAUAUUAAAUUCGUCACGAAACAAAAUUUCCCGUAUAAUAUUGAAAAGAUGUCUCUUAACAUGCUAAAAUAUUCAAUGAACAGAUCGAUUUCAAAUCGUUGUCAAACUGGAACACACGAAUGGAUUAUUUAUAUCUAGUAGUUCAAUUGCUAGAAAAAUCGUUCGGAAAGUGAAAAAUCAGAGUUGAAACUUUGUAUCUGCAAUUUGAUUCUUUCGUUUCCUUUUUUUUUUUUUAUCACGAGAUUUAUUUUCACGAGAGUUUUCUUCCUCAAGAUAAUCGAAUAUCUCUAAUUUUAUAAAUUUCAAUGAUUCUUUUUUAAUAUUCUUCGCUUAUGAUUCGAAGCAUGCGUGUAUAUAAAGUCAAAAUUGCUAUUUACACGAAUACAGUUUUCCAUAUCUGAGCAAUCUAAAUUGGAGUAUAUACAUGUAAUCUAUGGAUAUAUAAACCAUAAUACGAGUUGAUGUGAAUCCGAUUUGCAUGUUCAUUUAGUAAUAAUUGAACAGAUAAUCGUAUUAUUAUCGUUGAACGAUAGCCAAGGUAUUACGUGUUAUUCCAUUGAUUAUCUUUAUACCCUUUCAUUAGAUAUUUUAGGUCAAGAUUAACACUAUUUCAGAUAUUUCCUAUUUAUUUCACAGUUGAAAGUAUUUUUGGUUACUUAAUAUCAAAACAUAGUAAAUCAAAGCUUCGUUAGAUUAUUUUUAAUAUAACUCCUAUUAUAUACUAUAUCUUUAUUAUAAUUAAUUUUAUAUUCUUUUUUCUUUAUUACAUUUAGAAUAUAUUCAAAAAAUUAAAGUCUAAAAUUCCCAAAACGAUUUAUUGAUAUUAUUUUUUAUAUUGUAUAUUCUUAUUCCAUAAAUCUGCUAAAUUAUUGUUUAACGUGUUCAAAUGAAAUUAAAAAUCUUCGUAUACAUUACAUACAUAAACUUUCAACAAAUUAUCAAUCGAUAAAAAUAAAAAUUACACGUAUCCUUCAUAUCAGAAAAAUUAAUUAUUUUAUUUUGAAAUAUUCUUAUUAAUUUCAAAAUUAUUUCAAAAAUUUAUAUAUCAGCGAUAUUACAAAUAAUUUCAAUAUUUCGAUCAAAUAAACAUUCAUAAUUUAUAUUUCAAUUCUUUCAACGAUACGAUAACAAUAUAGAAUAUUAAAUACAGAUGUUAAAAACAAAACGCUUUAACAAUUUUAUUCCUUAAUAAUGCAUAUAUCAUAUCGUGUUGAAACGUAUACUACAAUACAAUAACCGAUAAUAUUGUACUUUAUAAAGAAGAACAAAAUUUUCCUAAAAAUUAACAUAUUAAUAAAAACUAAAGUGAAAAUUUUGAAAAUGCAUGAAUGAAAAAAAAAAUAUCCUGCGAAUUUCUUUUGAAAUUCAAAUUUAGAUAGAAAAUUGUUGUUAUUUAUUUAUUUAUUUUUUUCUCCUUUCUUUCGUUCGUUUCAUUUAAAUCAGAUUGUCAAGCGCAUCUUUGAUUAAACCAUAUUUUCCGAGAAAAUGUACGCAUCGUACGAUAUCGAUUGUAGCUUCAUUAAUAUUCUUGGCGAUACGUGUUUCGUACUUUUAACAUUGUGAAUCGUCAUACUUGUUUGCCCGGUAUAAGCAAACAACUAAUUCGAAUACACGGAGUACAUUUGCAUAUGCUGUCCACAGCUAAUCUCAACCCGCAAGAUUAUAAUUAACUAAAACAUGCAUACCGGCUAAUUCGGUAAUUUCAACGAUACCUAAUUAGACUGGUGCAAGUAUAUCCUUUCCAUUUGUGUCGCAGUAUCGUUCUCUUAAGAUUAUAAUGAUUUUUAAUUGAUUAAAAUUUAAUUGAAAAAAUUAUAUACUCGAAUAUUCCCAAAUUAAUCACAUAAUAUAUAAUAUAAAUUAUUGGUAUUUGAAAAUAAUUAUAUUAAUUUAUUUUUCAAAAAUGAUCUUACGUAAAUAAUCUUUCAUUACUCUGAAUAAAUCUGAAUAUAAAAUAGAAUCAAAUGAAAUUAUCUUCGAGGGAAAAAAUCGCAAGUUAUACUUUUACCUUCGAACUUCCCUAUAACAACUUAUCGUUAAUUUAUCCCCCCAACUUUAACUUGCCAACACUUUCUCUUUGGAUCAUCAAUCGUCCGAGAACUACCCUCGAAAAUCGAUCAAUCGAACUUGUUUCGCGCAACAGUUUGCCACUUCGUGUCAUUCUAUUACAACGUUUCGAUGGUGAAGAUUGACCAUUCUCCUGUUUCAAAAUUAGGCCGAUAUUAGGGGAAGAGAUCGGCCACUCUAUCUCUACGGUCUCAAAUUUAGGCUACCUCUUCUCGAGGCAGCAUCGACGUAAUUCCCAAUUAUUAUACACGCGAAAUGUAUUGCCACUUUCAAUUAGGCGUGGUGAAAGCGUCAUUGCCAUUGUAGGCCUAGGGCAGCGGUGAUGUUGCACUCGAUGGUACCGACCGGUCGUUGAUCCCAAAUUUAAUUACUUGCCCGCCCUGGAUUCACUUUAACAAUAUUAACAGGCCGCAUUAUUGUACAAUAUUUAAGCGACGUCCUCGAUUAAUUAGUAAGAAACGAUUCGACCGUGUGUAAUUAAAGAGUCACGUGAUUUUCGCGUUUUGCAUCAUUCAGAGAUCGUUUCGAACAUCAUUAUGAAAUAAUAAUUCAGAUAGAAAUUAAUAAUUCAUUCGUUUUGCAAUUGGACAAGUUUUUAUUUUUUUUUCUUUUUAUUUUCCACCAAUUAAUUCGAAAUAUAUUCUUAUUUUGAUUGUAAAAUGUUUAUGAUUUAUCCUAAGCUUAGAUUGUUUAUUAUUUUUAUUGUUUUGUAUUCAAAGCAUCUGUAGCUUCGUUAUUUCCUUUGUAAUACAUGUAUAUAAUGAUAAUAUUUUAUACGUACAGAAUCUAAAUACUUUCUCGCCUGUGAUUUUAUAUCAUCACGUUAAAUCUUUUGAAUUAUUUGAAACUUUGAUUAUAUGCUUAUUAAAAUUUAAUACGAAAUUAAAAUUCACAACAAAUUUAAA